GCCUACGGCCAUACCACCCUGAAAGCGCCCGAUCUCGUCUGAUCUCGGAAGCUAAGCAGGGACGGGCCUGGUUAAUACCUGGAUGGGAGACCACCUGGGAAUACCAGGUGUUGUAGGCU
rnacentral:rRNA from 1 species